rnacentral:rRNA from 1 species
CCUACGGGAGGCAGCAGUGAGGAAUAUUGGUCAAUGGGCGCGAGCCUGAACCAGCCAAGUCGCGUGAGGGAAGACGGUCCUAUGGAUUGUAAACCUCUUUUGUCGGGGAGCAAAAGACGCCACGCGUGGCGUUCCGAGAGUACCCGAAGAAAAAGCAUCGGCUAACUCCGUGCCAGCAGCCGUGGUAAUACGGAGGAUGCGAGCGUUAUCCGGAUUUAUUGGGUUUAAAGGGUGCGCAGGCGGAAGAUCAAGUCAGCGGUAAAAGUGAGAGGCUCAACCUCUUCGAGCCGUUGAAACUGGUUUUCUUGAGUGAGUGAGAAGUAUGCGGAAUGCGUGGUGUAGCGGUGAAAUGCAUAGAUAUCACGCAGAACUCCGAUUGCGAAGGCAGCAUACCGGCGCUCAACUGACGCUCAUGCACGAAAGUGUGGGUAUCGAACAGGAUUAGAUACCCUUGUAGUC